GCCAGGCAUGUUGGCUCAUGCCUGUAAUCCCAGCAGCUCAGGAGGCUGAGGCAGGAGGAUUGUGAGUUCAAAGCCAGCCUCAG
rnacentral:sRNA from 1 species